CCCUUCGGGGUGGAUUAGUGGCGAACGGGUGAGUAACACGUGGGCAAUCUGCCCUGCACUCUGGGACAAGCCCUGGAAACGGGGUCUAAUACCGGAUACGAGCCUCCAGGGCAUCUUGGAGGUUGGAAAGCUCCGGCGGUGCAGGAUGAGCCCGCGGCCUAUCAGCUUGUUGGUGAGGUAAUGGCUCACCAAGGCGACGACGGGUAGCCGGCCUGAGAGGGCGACCGGCCACACUGGGACUGAGACACGGCCCAGACUCCUACGGGAGGCAGCAGUGGGGAAUAUUGCACAAUGGGCGCAAGCCUGAUGCAGCGACGCCGCGUGAGGGAUGACGGCCUUCGGGUUGUAAACCUCUUUCAGCAGGGAAGAAGCGAGAGUGACGGUACCUGCAGAAGAAGCGCCGGCUAACUACGUGCCAGCAGCCGCGGUAAUACGUAGGGCGCGAGCGUUGUCCGGAAUUAUUGGGCGUAAAGAGCUCGUAGGCGGCUUGUCACGUCGGGUGUGAAAGACCGGGGCUUAACUCCGGUUCUGCAUUCGAUACGGGCUAGCUAGAGUUCGGUAGGGGAGAUCGGAAUUCCUGGUGUAGCGGUGAAAUGCGCAGAUAUCAGGAGGAACACCGGUGGCGAAGGCGGAUCUCUGGGCCGAUACUGACGCUGAGGAGCGAAAGCGUGGGGAGCGAACAGGAUUA
rnacentral:rRNA from 1 species